GUCUGAGACCCCGAAACUAGACGAGCUACUCCGAAGCAGUCUAAAAGGACUAACCCGUCUCUGUGGCAAAAGAGUGGGAAGACUUCCGAGUAGAGGUGAAAAGCCUACCGAGCCUAGUUAUAGCUGGUUGCUUAAGAAAAGAAUAUGAGUUCAGCCUUAUAAGUUUCUCAAAAAUCAAAAUGAAAGAAUAAAGUAACACAUAAGAGUUAGUCGAAGGGGGUACAGCUCCUUCGAAAAAGAACACAACCUUACCCAGGUAAAUAAGGAUUAUACUAAAAAAGGACAUGACUUUCAACAGUGGGCCCGAAAGCAGCCACCUCUAAUAGAAAGCGUUAAAGCUCAAGAACAGCCACACCAAAAAUAAAAAUAACCACUCCUAAUUUCCUAAUAAUAUUAAGCUACCCUAUUUUAUAGGAGAAAUUAUGCUAAAAUGAGUAAUAAGAGAAACUAGACCCUCUCCGGGCACACGUGUAAAUUAGAGCGGACAAACCACUGACAACUAACGGACCCAAAAAAGAGGGUAAAACAACAAAACUCAAUAAACAAGAAAAACCUAUUAAAACAACCGUUAACCCAACACAGGAGUGCCACUUAAGGAAAGACUAAAAGGGGAAGAAGGAACUCGGCAAACACAAACCUCGCCUGUUUACCAAAAACACCGCCUCCUGCAAAUAGAAUGUAUUGGAGGUCCUGCCUGCCCAGUGACAAUAGGUUCAACGGCCGCGGUAUUUUGACCGUGCAAAGGUAGCGUAAUCACCUGUCUUUUAAAUAAAGACCUGUAUGAAUGGCAAGACGAGGGUUUUACUGUCUCCUCCCCCCAGUCAAUGAAAUUGAUCUACCCGUGCAGAAGCGGGUAUAAAAACAUAAGACGAGAAGACCCUAUGGAGCUUUAGGCACACAUCAAAUAUGUAAAAAACCAAAUCUUCCAAAUAGGCCUAAAAAAUGAGAAAAACAAGUAUUAAUGAUUAAUUGCCUUCGGUUGGGGCGACCACGGGGAAAAAUAAAACCCCCACAUGGAAUGGAUAAAAUUAUCCUAAGCCAAGAAAAACAAUUCUAAGCAACAAAAUUUUUGACCAAUAAAUGACCCAGGGACAAUAUCCCUGAGCAAUGAACCAAGUUACCCUAGGGAUAACAGCGCAAUCCUUUCCCAGAGCCCAUAUCAACGAAAGGGUUUACGACCUCGAUGUUGGAUCAGGGCAUCCUAACGGUGCAGCCG
rnacentral:rRNA from 1 species